UACGGGGGGUGCGAGCGUUGUCCGGAAUCACUGGGCGUAAAGGGCGCGUAGGUGGUCUUAUAAGGGUGUGGUGAAAGCCCGGGGCUUAACCCCGGGUCGGCCGUGCCGACUGUAAGACUAGAGUGCUGUAGGGGCAGGCGGAAUUCCGGGUGUAGCGGUGGAAUGCGUAGAGAUCCGGAGGAAGACCGGUGGCGAAGGCGGCCUGCUGGGCAGUUACUGACACUGAGGCGCGACAGCGUGGGGAGCGAACAGG
rnacentral:rRNA from 1 species